GCGGGGGGGGGGAGGGGGGUAGGGGGGCGGGGCGGAGGAGGCCGCGUGCUCCCGCGAAAGCGCUCCGGGCGGCCGCGGGGGCGGCGUCAACGUUCCGGGCGGGCACGGGGGCGGUGCAAGGCGUUCCGCCCCCCUCCGCCGCCCCCCCCCCCCCCUCCCGGUCCCGGUCCCGGUCCCCUCCGCUUCCUCCGGGAGCGCGGCCUCGGCCUCGGCGGCGGCAGCGGCCCCGGGUGCGGCAUGGAGCCGCUCGCAGGAGCCGGGGUUUGUUUUCCUGCCUCGCCGUUCUCGCAUGCCCCCGGAGCAGUGGCGGCGCUCGGGGUGUGAAAAUUUGUUGUGCUGCUUUAGAGGAGGAAAAAAAAAGGCAAAAAGAAAAAAAAAACAAAAAACACAAACCCGCCUUGUGGUGCUAAUUGUAAGGCCAGGCUCGGAGUUAAGAGUUUCAGCUUAACAAAAGCUGACAUUUCAAGUGGGUGCGAGGGAAGCAGCUGGCAGGGAGAGGCGCAGCGGCAAAGUUGGGACGGGAGCGCGGGCAGCCGGCUCCUCUCUGCCCCUCGCGAGUCGUCCCCACAGCACAGCGAGGAAAAAGCUCGCUCGGGAGAUUCGGGAUGUUCGUGAUGGAAGAGGUACCUGGUGGAGCUGCUCUUUGGGGAAAUUUGGUGUUUAAAACACACAAGCGCGCGUUGUGGGUUUUUUUUUUGCCUGCUGCAGAAGCUGAGGGACCACAGGGGGAGGUGGCGAGGAGCUGUGUGCCCAAAUCCUUGCAAAAUUUGGGCUGAAAUCCUCCCAGAGCCUCAAUUUUGUGUCCUGGUGCCAGGAGCUUCGCCGUCCUCCUGGCUCUCGCCCCUGCUCCCGCGAGCCCCGCCGAUGUCUCCGUCGGCCUCUCGGGGUGAAAUUUCCACCAAGGCUUCAGCAGAGGCUCGGAGCAGAAAUUUUGGCUUUAGGAUUUCUCCCGAAAAAGCCUCUGGGAAGAGGAGUUGCUGAAGAACAGCGCCCGGUGGGGCGG
rnacentral:lncRNA from 1 species